UACGAAGGGUGCAAACGUUGCUCGGAAUUAUUGGGCGUAAAGCGCACGUAGGCGGCUUAGCAAGUCGGAUGUGAAAUCCCUCGGCUCAACCAAGGAAGUGCAUCCGAAACUGCUGAGCUUGAGUACUUAAGAGGAUCGCGGAAUUCCCGGUGUAGAGGUGAAAUGCGUAGAGAUCAGGCGGAACACCCGUGGCGAAGGCGACUUCCUGGCCUGUUCUUGACGCUGAGGCGCGAAAGCUAGGGUAGCAAACGGG
rnacentral:rRNA from 1 species